rnacentral:lncRNA from 1 species
AAGCCUGCGGCCCUUUUCUCUGCACCGCCGCCAUCGUGACCACCUCGGCCGACUUUCCAGAGCCCCGGCGUCCUUCCCCGCCGCCCACCGCCAUCGCCGAACGUCGCCGUCGCGCUGCAACCGCCCUGCGGCCGCCCUGCUUCAGUUUGGCCGAACUUUGGCCCGCUUCAGCCCCGCGCGCAGCCGCCGCCCAACGACGGCCUAGCUACCCUUCUCCGGCCUCCAUCAACCCUCCGCCGCCGUCCCGGAGCUUCCCGCCGGCCGCCGU